UGAGGCUUUGCGCGAGUUUGGUUUGCUGCAGUUGGAGAAAAGGUUGCAGGUCAGGAGACAGGGCAGAAGACGCGCCACGUGCCCUGCACCAGAAAUUAUUGGGCAUGGCCAGCACGUAUUGGGAGCCAGAUUAAAAAUGGCUGAGCAGUGAGGAUGCCACACUCAUUUUGGCCAGGCUGUGCGGUACCGAGUACAAGGACUGGGCCUGUUCAGGCUGUAUACCAUGAGGACAGGAAUGCGAUGUCUUCUGCUAAAAAAGGCUGUGAGCCUUGCAUUCCUGCCAGUGGAACAAGCCAGGACAGGCACUCUUAGGCUGAAGGCAGGGGCUCCAUAACUUCCAGCCAUUGAGGAAUUUAUUGUCUACUUUGAGGGCACGUGGAUAUUGGGCAACAUCGUGUCAGGAGGCCGAGAGCCAACAAUGUAACGGAGGCUUGGCAUAGUAAAAGUUCGAGUUCCUCGAGACAACGCCUGCCGAUGGAGGUUACUCGAAGCAGGUGGAGAAUUUCCCGUGGCAACAGUGGAAGCCCCAGGAGCAGGAGGAGCGGUGCUGGAGGAGCUUUGGAGGGUACCCUGGAAGUUCGGACAGCCAGCAGUUCUUGACGCUUAGGUCUGCAUUGUGGCCAAGGCCAGGAACACGCCCGGCCGUCUGGUCGCCUACAGGGCCCUCCCCAACGCAGAGGGCUCUCCCCUCUUGGCAGCACCCAAUCCCGUCGCUGCCCUCCAGCAGCGUAUGGGGACCGGCCGGGCCACCAACGAGAUUUCCCAGCACCUCGGGACCGUGGUGGACCACAACGGGCAGACCCCGGCGAAGCUCCCCACGGAAAGGAGGACACUCAUCCUUGGCUACUUGGCUCACUUCACGACCAUCUUCGUUCGUUCUUUCAGAGAGAGAUGCAUAAAAGACUUUGUAGGUGGAGUUUCGUGGCUGUGAGACAGAAUGCAGCCUCUUUGGUGGACGGUUCCUCUACGUGGUGGGGUAGACGUCCCAGCAGGUGGCUGCCAUUGAAGACUGCGACCACCACAGCCAGGAGACCCAAGAGAGGAAGAGGCACCGCAGCGCAAGCCCGCUUAGGGACCCCGACUAUCAGCGAGAACGCGGUUUGAAGUAGCCAAGGCCUCCCCGCACGACUAUUGCCACAAACGGAGGCGAAGGUCAUCAUGGAAGGAAUGAAAUAUUUUUAAAUACAUAUGUAAAACUUUUUGCAAAUAUACAUGUAAAAAUUUGUAAAUAUAUGUGUUAAAAUUUGUAUACAUAUGUGUAAAAUUUAUAAAUAUAUGCGUAAAGAUUUGCGUAAAUAUACCCAUAAAUAAAUGUUUUGUAAAUCGA